UGGCGGACGGGUGAGUAACGCGUGGGUAACCUGCCCUGUACAGGGGGACAACAGUUAGAAAUGACUGCUAAUACCGCAUAAGCGCACAGGACCGCAUGGUCCGGUGUGAAAAACUCCGGGUGGUACAGGAUGGACCCGCGUCUGAUUAGGUAGUUGGCGGGGUAACGGCCCACCAAGCCGACGAUCAGUAGCCGACCUGAGAGGGUGACCGGCCACAUUGGGACUGAGACACGGCCCAAACUCCUACGGGAGGCAGCAG
rnacentral:rRNA from 1 species